ensembl:lncRNA
AGGGUGCCUCACAUGUGGUUCAGGCAUGGUUCAGUUGUGGCUCACACACGGUUCAGAUGUAAUUCAGGCAUGGCUCACACGUGACUUGUGUGGGUCACAAAUGCUGCAGGAGACUUUCACACAUGAUUUAGGCAUGGCCCACACAUGGUUCAGUUGCAGCUCAGCCAAGGCUCACACGUGAUGCAGGCAAGCCACAGAACUGGGUGACACAUGUCUGAUGCAUGAUUCCAGUGAUUGUCACGCAUGGCUCCCACACAGCUGAGGUGUGGCUCAUGCAUGGCUGUGGUGCUGCUCAGGUGUGGCUCACACUUGAUUUUGGCAUGGUUGGCACGUGGUUCAGGCCUGGCAGGCAGGUGGCUCCAGUGUGGCUGACACGAGCUUCAAGUGAGGCUGGCAUGUGGUGAAAUGGUGACUGGCACAUGGUUCAGUCGUGGCUGGCAUGUAACUUCGGCAUGGCUGAGUUGAGACACAGGCGUGGCUCACACGUUUUUCUGGCAUGGCUGACACAUGACUCAGGUGAGGCAGCCAUGUGACACAGGUGUGCCUGUCACAUCACGCAGGUUUGGCUCGCACCUGGCUCAUGCAUGGCCUUCACCUCACUCAGGGCUGGGAGGUGCAUGGUUCACGCAGGGUUGUAAGGUGUUUCAGGUGUGGCUGACACAUGACACAGGCAUGGCUGACAUGUGACGCAGGCAUUCAUCGCACAUUAUCCAUGCCUGGCAGACAUGUGUUUCACGCAUGGGUUACAUGUCGUCAUGUGUGGCACACAAGUGACUCAUUCGCUGCUGACACAUGGCUCCCACCUACUCAGAUGUGGCUGGCAUGUGGCUCACACAUGGCCCAGCCAUGAUUCACGAGUGUCUGCCCUGUGGUUCACGUGUGGUUCACACCUUGAUCAUGUAUGCUUCACACGUGUUUCCCAUGUGGUUCAAGUUUAUCUCUCGUGGUUCAGUCAUGGUUCAGGUGUGGCUCACAAAAGGUUCCAGUGUAACCCAGGUGUGGCUCACACAUGGCUCUUGUGUGUGUCACCUAUUGUUGAGGAUUGUUUGAGCCGUGAUUCAGGCAUGGCUGACACGUGGUGCAGGCAUGGCUCAGCCAUGGCUCACAUGGAGUUCAGGCGAGCCUCUGACUGGGGCCAGGUGUGGCUGCCACAUGAUUCAGGAGUUUGUCACACAUGGCUGACACAUGUCUCAGGUGAGCCUCACACAUGGCUUGGGCGUGGCUCUGGCAUGGUUGGCACGUGGCUGAGGCAUGUCUGAAAGGCGAUUUAGGCAUUGCUGUCAUGUGUUUCAGGCAUGGGAUUCAGGUGUGUCGCACACGGGUUCCAGUGGUAUGUGAUACUUCGUUCAGGCCGCAGUGACACUUGCUUGCUGUGUGGCUGACACUUGGUGUGUCGCAGUUGACACAUGGCUCAGGUGUGGCUGACAUGUGGUUCAGAUGUGGGUGACAGGUGAUUCAGCUGUGGCUGGCACUUUACUGCUGCAGGCCUGACACAUGACGCAGGGAUUGCUCACACGUGACUCAGGCAUUCAUUGCACAUUAUCCAUGCGUGGCAGGCAUGUGGUCACACAUGGGAUGCGUCAUACAUGUGUUGCUCCCACCUUGCUGAAACUUGGCCCCCACAUACUGGGUUAUGGCUGGCUCGUGGCUCAUGCAGGCCUCAGCUGUGUUUCAUGUGGGGCUCAACUGAGGUUCUGGUGUGGUUCAAGAAUUG